GCUAACUGGAAAUUUAAUAUUGCAGARAAAUUUGUAAUAUUAAAUAAUGUAAGGGAGGAUCAUGACGUUACCUUACGAUGAGUGUCGUCUAAACACUGGUGCCAGAAGACUCGGUAACACCAGAGACGCGAACGUUAGUCAUCUUAAAUGGGCGUAAAGGGUUCGUAGGCAUCUUAAUAUUAAGAUAGAAUCAAAAAGAGGAAAUCGGAGAAUGUUUAGAGGUAGUGCUGAUAUACUUAGAUCCUAAACGGAAUACUCGUGGCGAAGGCUCCUUUCCAACAAUGAUUGACGCUGAGGAACGAAGGUGUAGAUAGGAAAUAGGAUUAGAUACCCAGAUACCCUACACUGUAAACGAUGAAUGGUAAGAGUCUAUAUAUAAUUAGACCUAUAGACUAUUAUAGUCCAUAGGCAUAAUAUUAAAUAUAGGUUAUGAGGUUAACAGCGAUAACCAUUCCGCCUCGUAAGUAUACUCGCAAGAGUGAAAAUAAAAAAAUUAGUCGG
rnacentral:rRNA from 1 species